UACGGAGGGGGCUAGCGUUGUUCGGAAUUACUGGGCGUAAAGCGCACGUAGGCGGCUUUGUAAGUUAGAGGUGAAAGCCCGGGGCUCAACCCCGGAAUUGCCUUUAAGACUGCAUCGCUUGAAUUGUGGAGAGGUAAGUGGAAUUCCGAGUGUAGAGGUGAAAUUCGUAGAUAUUCGGAAGAACACCAGUGGCGAAGGCGACUCACUGGACACAUAUUGACGCUGAGGUGCGAAAGCGUGGGGAGCAAACAGG
rnacentral:rRNA from 1 species